CCGUCAGUAGGUUGGUCGUGCCACCGGUACGUACUGGUCUCACUGAUUCCUCCUUCCUGAAGAACGGUAAUGCCAUUAAUUUGGUGUUGCGGGGAAACAGGACUGUUACUUUGAAAAAAUUAGAGUGUUUAAAGCAAGCUAACGCUUGAAUACAUUAGCAUGGAAUAAUGAAAUAGGACGAUCGAUCCUAUUUUGUUGGUUUCUAGGAUUGACGUA
rnacentral:rRNA from 1 species